UACUCCUACGGGAGGCAGCAGUGGGGAAUAUUGCACAAUGGGCGAAACCCUGAUGCAGCGACGCCGCGUGAGUGACGAAGUAUUUCGGUAUGUAAAACUCUAUCAGCAGGGAAGAUAACGACGGUACCUGACUAAGAAGCACCGGCUAAAUACGUGCCAGCAGCCGCGGUAAU
rnacentral:rRNA from 1 species